rnacentral:rRNA from 1 species
GAUGAACGCUAGCUACAGGCUUAACACAUGCAAGUCGAGGGGUAACGAGAGGAAAGCUUGCUUUCCUUGUCGACGACCGGCGCACAGGUGAGUAACGCGUAUCCAACCUGCCCCCAACUAGGGAAUAACCUUGCGAAAGUAAGACUAAUACCCUAUAAUUUCCUCAGAUGUCAUCUGACGAGGACUAAAGAUUUAUCGGUUGUGGAUGGGGAUGCGUCUGAUUAGCUUGUUGGCGGGGUAACGGCCCACCAAGGCAACGAUCAGUAGGGGUUCUGAGAGGAAGGUCCCCCACAUUGGAACUGAGACACGGUCCAAACUCCCACGGGAGGCAGCAGUGAGGAAUAUUGGUCAAUGGGCGGAAGCCUGAACCAGCCAAGUAGCGUGCAGGAUGACGGCCCUAUGGGUUGUAAACUGCUUUUAUACAGGAAUAAAGUUAGCCACGUGUGGUUAUUUGUAGGUACUGUAUGAAUAAGGACCGGCUAAUUCCGUGCCAGCCGCCGCCGUAA